AGAUGGGUCCUCAGAGGAGGAUGGGGAUAUAUGUCGGAUAUGAAUCUCCCACCAUUAUAAAGUACCUUGAGCCAACUACUGGUGAUGUAUUUAAGGCCAGGUACGCGGAUUGUCAUUUUGACGAAUCCACUUACCCACCACUAGGGGGAGAUCAUAAUAAACAUAAGCUGGUAAAGGAAAUUAUACGGAAUCAAUCAUCCUUAUAAUGGCAAAGAUCCUCGGACUAUGAAAUAUGAAUUAGACGUCCAAAAGCUAGCUAAUUGCCAGAUUCCUUUGACCCAAAUAUAUAGUGACUCAAUCACAUAUACCAGCUAUGAAUGCACCUAUAAGAAUUGAUGUUCAUGAAGGACGCAAUCAGGUUGCUACAGAGUCUAAGGCCCGUAUGAAACGAGGCAGACCAAUAAGUUCCGAAGAUAAAAACCCUCGGAAACAAAGAAAGGUGCUAAGAAUAAUUCCGAGGUUACCGUGGUGGGUACCCGUAACAUAACCGAACCUCAGUUACCAAAUAAUGAGACUUGGGACGCCAAGAUUCAAGGUACUGAUGAUGUUCAUGAUAAUAAUGAGAUCGCGAUCAUUGAUGUUAUGUCCGGGAUAAAAUAGAACUGAAAAGAUGUCGACGUCGACAAUAUAUUUGCAUACAAGGUAGCACUUGAAAUAAAAUUGAUAAGCGAGGAUCUAUAACCCACGUCCAUAAUAGAAUGCACUCAAUGCACAGAUUGGAUUAAAUAUGUGGAGAUAACCCACGUCCAUAAUAAGAAUGCACUCAAUGCACAGAUUGGAUUAAAUAUGUGGAGAAGAGGAAUGUAUAAGGCCACCUCUCGAUAUAAAGCCAGUUGGACAUAAAUGAGUCUUUGUGAGGAAAAGAAAUAAAUAUGGUGAUAUCGUGAGAUAUAAAGCACGGCAUAUUGCACAAGGAUCCUCACAUAGACCAUGAAUAUAUUAUGAGGAGAUAUGCUCCCAUGUGGUGGAUGCUAAGUCUGGAUAUAUAAAUGAAAAGACUUCAUUUGCGGCUAAUGGAUGUAAUGCCUGCAUAUUUAUAUAAGUCCACUGGAUAAUAUAAGAGAUUACCAGAGAGUAUUGAGCUCAAAUAUAAGAAAGGUUCUCGAGAACAUCACUGCGCAUAAGGCUUGACAAAUCCUUUCAUGGACUUAGAAUAAAUGGGCGUAUGUAAGAUUAUAAACGAUCCCAUCAGUCCAUGAAUACUCAUAAAGAGGUUUGCAAACAAAGGAUUUGUAAUCAUAAGCAGUGUAUAUGAACCUCUGGGUAAUCGACCAAACAGUUGAAAGACCUAGGCAUCAAAUAAGUCAUGUUUGGAAUUACACCUUGAGUACAUAAAUAAUGAAAUCCUUGUGCAUCAAAUGGCAUACAAUAAAGGGUACUCAAAGGAAAUUUAUAAGGAAUAGGCCCGCCCAUUGACCAGGCCCAAUGGUGGUGAGAAGCCUAAGAUUGGAUAGUGAUCCAUUCAGUCCGUAAAUGUCAUACCUCAGUGUCAUAAGAGCUUUAAUGUAUCUGCCGAGCCACACUAGGCCAGAUAUAUGUUUUGCCGUGAAUCUAUUAUCUAGAUUUAUCUCAUUGUCCAACCCAAAGGCACUGGGACGAGAUUACAACAUAUUCUUCGUUAUCUACAAGGUUAUCUCUCGGAUCCGCACAAUGGUCGAUCACAAACUGGCUAUGUUUUCACGUACGGUGGAACGGCAAUAUCUUGGCGAUCUCAAAAGCAAACGAUCGCAGCAACAUCGUCCAACCAUUUUGAAAUCUUGGCGAUACAUGAGGCCAGCCGUGAAUGCGUUUGGUUGAGGUCCAUGACCCAACAUAUUAUGAUCGAUUGUGGGAUGACCGAAGGGAAGGCAGCACCAACAAUAAUGUAUGAGGACAAUGCUGCCUGCAUAGCUCAGCUCAAAGAUGGAUACAUCAAAGGAGAUAGGACGAAGCACAUCUUGCCAAAGUUCUUCUUCACUCAUGAAUUACAGAAAGCCGGAGAAGUUCAAGUCGAACAAGUUCAAUCAUGUGACAACUCGGCGGAUCUAUUCACCAAGUCGCUUCCAACUUCAACGCUCAAGAAGCUUAUCAAGCAGAUUGGAAUGCGACGGCUUAAAGAUCUUCAGUGAGCUUCAAAUGAGGGGGAGUAAUACGUGUUGUACUCUUUUUCCUUCACCACGGUUUUAUCCCAAUGGGUUUUCCUGGUAAGGUUUUAAUGAGGCAACAUCCCCAAGCGUAUUACUAGCUCACGAAGGUUAUGACAUCCAAGGGGGAGUGUUAUGAAUCAUAGUGGAUUGUCAUAACAAGCCCAGUAAGGCCCGGCCCAUAUCAAGCCCGGUCCGGCCCAAUGUUAUGGAGGUGUAACUUGUAUUAGGGUUUACUUGUAACCUCCUUUGUAUGAACCUAUAUAUAUGGCUUUAACCUAAUGAAUAAAGCAUCCCAGUUCCCUCUCUA